rnacentral:lncRNA from 1 species
AAUAUUAGAGAAAAUAGGAGAUAAUAACUUUAUAGAAACCGAAGCUGGUAAUCCUAUAGAAAUAAAUACGGAAGAUAUUAAAGAUACAAAACCAAGUACAUCAGGUACAUCAGAAGUAAAAAAUCCAAAAGAAUUAAGACCUAAUUAUUAUACAGUCAGUUAUGAAGAAUCUGAUAGAUAUGAUAGUCUAUGGAAUAAAAGAUUAAACAAAAAAUGGACGCC